rnacentral:rRNA from 1 species
UACGAAGGGGGCUAGCGUUGUUCGGAAUUACUGGGCGUAAAGCGCACGUAGGCGGACUCUUAAGUAAGCGGUGAAAUCCCGGGGCGCAACCUCGGAACUGACUUUGAUACUGUGAGUCUCGAGACCGGAAGAGGUGAGUGGAAUGCCUAGUGUAGAGGUGAAAUUCGUAGAUAUUAGGAAGAACACCAGUGGAGAAGGCGGCUCACUGGUCGGGUUCUGGCUCGGAGGUGCGAAAUCGCGGGGAGCAAACUGG